AAUAAAAUAUUAAUAUUAAAUAAAUGAGAAAAUAAAAAUUAAAUAAAAUUAAAUAAGGCAUCAAGAAAUAUGGAAAAUAUUUUUGGAUAUUUUUAUGAACAAAGAAAAUAUUUUAAAUUAAUUAAAAUCAAAACAGAAAUAAAUUGGGAAUUAAAAAAAAAGAACAUGAAAAGAGGUGGUGUAUUAGCAUUUUAAUUGAAC
rnacentral:lncRNA from 1 species